rnacentral:tRNA from 1 species
GCCUCGGUGGCGGAAUUGGUAGACGCGCGGGACUCAAAAUCCCGUUCCGCAAGGAGUGUCGGUUCGAUUCCGACUCGAGGCACCA